rnacentral:rRNA from 1 species
AUUGAACGCUGGCGGCAUGCUUUACACAUGCAAGUCGAACGGUAACAGGCCGCAAGGUGCUGACGAGUGGCGAACGGGUGAGUAAUGCAUCGGAACGUGCCCAGUCGUGGGGGAUAACGCAGCGAAAGCUGCGCUAAUACCGCAUACGAUCUAUGGAUGAAAGCGGGGGACCGUAAGGCCUCGCGCGAUUGGCGCGGCCGAUGUCAGAUUAGGUAGUUGGUGGGGUAAAGGCUCACCAAGCCGACGAUCUGUAGCUGGUCUGAGAGGACGACCAGCCACACUGGGACUGAGACACGGCCCAGACUCCUACGGGAGGCAGCAGUGGGGAAUUUUCCGCAAUGGGCGAAAGCCUGACGGAGUGACGCCGCGUGUGGGAUGGAGGCCUUCGGGUCGUAAACCACUGUCAGUGGGAAAGAUGGGUGUCGGCGCGAUAACCGCCGGCAUCUGACGGUACCUGCAGAGGAAGCCCCGGCUAACUCUGUGCCAGCCGCCGCGGUAAAAC